UAAUGUUGCAGGUCUCUUGUGCCUUAUG
rnacentral:piRNA from 1 species